rnacentral:rRNA from 1 species
GUACACGCGAGGCUACAAUGGUUGGUACAAUGGGCAUCUGCCCCGAAAGGGGAAGGAAAUCUCUUAAAGCCAAUCGUAGUUCGGAUUGAGGGCUGCAACUCGCCCUCAUGAAGCUGGAAUCCGUAGUAAUCGCGUUUCAACAGAACGCGGUGAAUACGUCCCUGCUCCUU